GACGUAGGGCGCGAGCGUUGUCCGGAUUUAUUGGGCGUAAAGAGCUCGUAGGCGGCUUGUUGCGUCGACUGUGAAAACCCGCGGCUUAACUGCGGGCUUGCAGUUGAUACGGGCAGGCUAGAGUUCGGUAGGGGAGACUGGAAUUCCUGGUGUAGCGGUGGAAUGCGCAGAUAUCAGGAGGAACACCGGUGGCGAAGGCGGGAUCCUGGGCCAGUACUGACGCUGAGGAGCGAAAGCGUGGGGAGCAACAGG
rnacentral:rRNA from 1 species